rnacentral:rRNA from 1 species
AGCGAACGCUGGCGGCAGGCUUAACACAUGCAAGUCGAGCGGGCAUCCUUGUGGUGUCAGCGGCAGACGGGUGAGUAACGCGUGGGAACGUGCCCUUCGGUUCGGAAUAACUCAGGGAAACUUGAGCUAAUACCGGAUACAUGCGAGAGCAGAAAGGUUUAUCUGCCGAAGGAUCGGCCCGCGUCUGAUUAGCUAGUUGGUGAGGUUACGGCUCACCAAGGCGACGAUCAGUAGCUGGUCUGAGAGGAUGAUCAGCCACACUGGGACUGAGACACGGCCCAGACUCCUACGGGAGGCAGCAGUGGGGAAUAUUGGACAAUGGGGGCAACCCUGAUCCAGCCAUGCCGCGUGAGUGAUGACGGCCUUAGGGUUGUAAAGCUCUUUUCUCCGGGACGAUAAUGACGGUACCGGAGGAAUAAGCCCCGGCUAACUUCGUG